UAUCAUCAAUCCCGUCGGGUUUGCGCCCGCAUGGGGUUGGACCUGGGGGCCUGCUGCCUUUUGGCGGCUCCCCUUAAAUGCAUCGGUUUGGCCCGCUCCCAAGGCGUUGUAUCAACCUCGCCUCCGUGGUCCGGAUCCGCCCUCGCCGUGCCGACCCCGACCUGCCCGUGGGGUGGCGGUCUGCUCAAUCUUGACAA
rnacentral:misc_RNA from 1 species